rnacentral:rRNA from 1 species
UACGGAGGGUGCAAGCGUUGUCCGGAAUCACUGGGCGUAAAGGGCGCGUAGGCGGCUCAUGAAGGCUGUGGUGAAAGUCCGGGGCUCAACCUCGGAUCGGCCGUGGCGACUCGUGGGCUGGAGCACUGUAGAGGCGGGUGGAAUUCCUGGUGUAGCGGUGGAAUGCGUAGAGAUGGGGGAGAACACCAGUGGCGAAGGCGGCCCGCUGGGCAGGGGCUGACGCUGAGGCGCGACAGCGUGGGGAGCAAACAGG